UCCCAUAUGGUGUAGUGGUUAGCAUAUCAGGUUUUCAAGCCUCCUCGAGGGGACCACCUCAAGAAUUUGAAACCCACCCUGAAGCCCCGGGUUCAAUUCCCGGUAUGGGAA